rnacentral:rRNA from 1 species
GAUGAACGCUGGCGGCGUGCCUAAUACAUGCAAGUCGAGCGAACAGACGAGGAGCUUGCUCCUCUGACGUUAGCGGCGGACGGGUGAGUAACACGUGGAUAACCUACCUAUAAGACUGGGAUAACUUCGGGAAACCGGAGCUAAUACCGGAUAAUAUAUUGAACCGCAUGGUUCAAUAGUGAAAGACGGUUUUGCUGUCACUUAUAGAUGGAUCCGCGCCGCAUUAGCUAGUUGGUAAGGUAACGGCUUACCAAGGCAACGAUGCGUAGCCGACCUGAGAGGAUGAUCGGCCAACAGGGAACUGAGACACGGUCCAGACUCCUACGGGAGGCAGCAGUAGGGAAUCUUCCGCAAUGGGCGAAAGCCUGACGGAGCAACGCCGCGUGAGUGAUGAAGGUCUUCGGAUCGUAAAGCUCUGUUAUUAGGGAAGAACAAAUGUGUAAGUAACUAUGCACGUCUUGACGGUACCUAAUCAGAAAGCCACGGCUAACUACGUG